AACGAACGCUGGCGGCGUGGAUUAGGCAUGCAAGUCGAACGGAACUUUUAGCUUUUUCGGAAGUUUAGUGGCGAAAGGGUGAGUAACACGUGGGUUACUGCCUAGGGUUCGGGAUAACCUGUCGAAAGACGGGCUAAUACCGGAUACGUCCUGCACUUUUCGAAGUGCAGGGGAAAGAUGGGGAUCCGUAAGGACCUAUCACCCUUGGAUGGGCCCGCGGCCUAUCAGCUAGUUGGUGAGGUAAUGGCUCACCAAGGCUAAGACGGGUAGCUGGUCUGAGAGGAUGGUCAGCCACACUGGAACUGAGACACUGUCCAGACACCUACGGGUGGCUGCAGUCGAGAAUCUUUCGCAAUGGGGGAAACCCUGACGACGCGACGCCGCGUGGAGGAUGAAGGCCUUCGGGUUGUAAACUCCUGUCAGCAGGGGAAAACAAGCUUUUAGUGAAUAACUGAGAGCUUUGACAGUACCUGCAGAGAAGCCACGGCUAACUCUGUGC
rnacentral:rRNA from 1 species